ACUAAAUGCGGGAGAAAAGCGUGCACAUGGUCACGUGACUCCACCGGGAGCGCGCUGGCGUUGGAGAAAAGGGACGCGUGCGCGUUCAUAGAGUGUGUAAUUACGUUCACCUGUUGCAGAGAACCUGCGCUGUGUUUGUAAAUAACAAUGCACUGCACUCUAAUGCCUGCGUCCGUUUCUGAGCUUCUUUUUAUUCUAUUUUGUAUUUUAUUAUUUAUGCCACAUAAUGUCCAUGUUGAUAUAUACCUGUGUGUUUAAUUAUUUUAAUUAAUAGCACGUUAGCUAUUAGCACUGUCUAGUUUCCAUCAUCCACACUGUGUUUACUUCCGCAUUUGUGUUAUCGCGAGACUCUGUGGACUCCGCGCUGUGUACGUCAUCACGUAACGGUGCGUAUUGUUUACGGAAGUAAAGUUUAAACCGGGAGAGAGACAGCAGAAGGAGCGCGUUCAGUUGAUCAGUGUAUCAUCUCUAUGGAUUAUGGUCAUGGUUUCCUGCUGAAGGAACAUCUCCGGUGGAUAUCUCCUCUAAAGGAACAUCUUCGGUGGAUAUCUCCUCUGAAGGAAUACCUUUUCCCUUCUAUUGUGUUACUGCUCGGGAGGAUUCACCAGCGAGUUUCAUUAAUCCGGCGGAAAAGUGGAUCUUCUCACCUUUGGACUGAGGAACGGUACAUGACUCCUCUGAGUAUCAGCAGCAGCAGCAGAACCCCAACAGCUGUACAGAUGAUGAUGAUGAUGAUGGUGUGAGGAUCUGGGUUUGUGGAACAGAAGAGAAGUGAGAAGGACACAUGGGGGUUUGAAUUCUCCAUUCUGAUUGAUAAACCCGCUUCUAUUUUAGUGACACACCACCGAAGAGGACGACUGCUGGUGAAGGAAGUGACGGCGUGAACACACCACACGGGUAAGCAGUUUACCGACGUCAUCCACAUAUUCUGAGAACAGUGUUCACACCCCAGUGGGUGUUUGAGACAUGUACGACGCGUAAGAACCUCGAUGAGUAACAGCCAAUGAGAGAGCAAGAGGAAACUGUAGGGGAACGAAUCAGGAACAACCAGAACACCAAUCAUGAUGAAGGAGACUCAGCGUUCUACAUGAACCCAGGACAUGGACGGGGAUUAAUAAAGCUCUAGCAGGAAGUUCUUAUUUAAUAAGUGCUAAGCAGGUUUUAUCAAAGUUCCGUGAUGAACAUUUUCUCAUGUUAUAUUUAUAUUUGGUUUGAUAUCAAACAGAAAAACUCCAAAAAUCACCCAAAUAAUUUCAGUAGUUCAGUGUGCACUUUAUAUUUCCAUAUCAUACGUAAGAUUACUGCAUGCCGACAUGCUUUAAAGGCAUUAUAUUAUAAACUCUUCCAUCUAUUUACUGACAUUAUUAAAAACGGGGGAGAGAGAGAGAGAGAGAGAGAGAGAGAGAGAAGCAGACUCACCUUCAGUGACAUGAAGCUGUAUAAGGAGGAGAAGAAAACACACCUGCAUUCUGACUGAGGACCCAAACACACACAUUAAUCCAAAGAGAGAACUGGAGCUAAACACACACUGACCAACUGCUGCACCGAGUCUGAUCAUAAUGAACACACUCUAGAGAUGACACUCACACUCACAGCUACUACAGGAAGUGCAGAUAUAGCAGUAUGACACUGACCACAUAGAUGAGAGGAAGUUCCUCAUGUCUGUUGCACAGCAGAACUGAGUCUAUGUUCUAAAUCCUUUCAAAUGAUCUAAUGCCAAUAAACAAUCAACUAUUGUAUAAAUAAUCAUUGUCAUGUCUUAAAAACAUGCAUCUUAUCAUGUCUCAAAUGAGAUUUGACACGACACAGUGACAGUCAUCUACAGGCUCCUGCAUUACUGAUCUGACUUCUCCAUCUAGUGGCCUUUAAGGGUUAGUGCAAGAGAAUAAAGCUUAUGAUAUGUUUUUAAUAUAUAUUUUUAAAUGUUUGGCAAAGAACAGGACAAAACUUAUGCAAAGUAGUAAAGAGCACUAUUUCAGUACACUGCAGUAUUCAGUACACUUCAGUGCACUGCAGUAGUUUAUGUACCUCUAUGCUUGAGUAGUCCUUACACUUCAGAAUUAAUUCCUUACUUGUGUAAUGGCUCCCCUGGCGUUGAUUUGUUAAUACUGAUCAGUUUAUAAAUACAUGAUACAAUUGUAUCCUGUGUGUAUUUUGUUGAUCUUUGUGCUAUUAAAAUAAAACUACAUAUAAAAUCUUAUUACACUUACUACACAGUAUAUUAUCAUUUAUUUGAGACCAGUUUAUUGACACAAACACAUUGAUACAGUAACACACACAGACUCAAGUGGGCGCUGAUUAGAUGAUUUAAUGUAGAGAUAUAAUUAUUCUAAUGUUUGUACAUCAACAAUAAGUGGGCAGCAAAAGUGGACUAACUGCGUGAGAAAAGCGUGCACCUGGUCACUUGACUCCACCGUGAAGGAGAAGGAGUUGGAGGAGAAGUCGGGUUUUGGUUCUGUGCAGACGUGAGGAGAAAGAGCAGGAUGAGAUGUUGAGAGUGGAGAACCUUUUAUCAAGGUUUUGGGAGAUGGACUGGACAUCCGGCUUUGCAGAGGAAGAUGGACUCCACAGAUGAAGCUGAUCAAUGGAAGGAAAGUAGUUUACAAUCAUUUAUGUGACACAGGUGUAUUUAUUCUGGCACAUUUGGUGUAAAAUAAUGCUAAAAUACACAAAAAAGUGGUUUUCUGGAAAUUUUAUUUCAUUUUAAAAGUUAAAAAGGAAAGCGCAUCAGUGUUAGUCAGAAUACAUCAGUUCUGAUCGCAUUUACAAUACAGGACCAAGAACAUUACAAUAUUUUCUGAGGGGAAAAAUACAAUGUGCCUAGUUUUUAAUGAUGUAAAUAUUGUGAAAGUGAAGCAGGCUUCAAAAGCAUGUGAGAAUCAGGUAUUAAACUCUAAAUGAUCUACUUUUAAAUCUAAACCACACAUAUUCUGCGAUUAACUAAAAUAUUAUUAGGCAGAAAAUAAAAGCUGAACGCCUAAAAGGUUGGAAAGGACAAAUCGUGAAAAAAAUAUGAAGCUUCGGUAUUUACAGAACUACUUAUGCAGGUCUAUUUAUGAAUAAAUCUGUUUAUUAAUGUAUUGAUGGAUCAGCUGAUCGAGUUCUUCUCUACUGCAGACUCACUGCUCCAUCUCCAUCAGCUCUGCUGUAAUGAACUCUAUCAGGACCUGGAGAGUAAACUAAAAAAGAAAAGCUACGUUCAUGCAGAUAAAAUGGCGGGGAAGUGGAGGAUAAAUGUCCACAAAGUAGUAAGAGUACAAGAGCUUAAAAGUGUGUGUACCUUUCUUUCUGGUUCUGCAAUAGACCACAGCCACGAAGAUGUGCAGAAAGAUCACAGUCACCACGGCGAAGGGGACGAAGGGAAGACGCUCUGGAGAGACGUCAUCAAUAUCAUGACACACCACCGAAGAGGACGACUGCUGGUGAAGGAAGUGACGGCGUGAAUACACCAGAGUCUGUGUUUAGUUAUUAAUGAUUAAAUAUUGUGAAAGUGAAGCAGGUUUCAAAAGCAUGUGAGAAUCCGAUAUAAAACUAUAAAGGAUAUACUUUUAAAUCUAAACCACACAUAUUCUAUGAUUUAGUUAAAAUAUUAUUAGGCAUCAAAUGGAAAGCUGAAAGGUCACAUAUUCAUUAAAAUAUUUCAUUUCCUUAGACAGACUGUAGUCAAAUUCCCA